rnacentral:misc_RNA from 1 species
CUGUCGGUGUGGUCGGCAUUCUUGUCGAGCGCCGACUUGGCCUUCUCCCAAAACGCGGCGAUGGUUUCCGCAUUCGAGUUAUCCAGCCCGACAAGCUUCGACAGAUCGGCGGGGGUGCGCAAAUCCUUGGCCAUCAAGGCCAGGGAGAAGCCUGACGCGAAGGUCUCCGAGAUCACGAACUGCUUCAUCUUGACGUCGGUGGAGUUGUUCUUGCCGGUCGAUGCAUUGAGGACGUCAAUGACCGUGUCAGGUUGCAAGCCGAAGCGUCGGCCGACCAGCAGCGCUUC